rnacentral:tRNA from 1 species
GUCCUGGUGGGGUAGUGGAUAUCCUAUGAGCCUGCGGAGCUCAAGACUCGGGUUCAAAUCCCGGCCGGGACG